rnacentral:rRNA from 1 species
AUGAACGCUGGCGGCGUGCCUCAUACCUGCAAGUCGAGCGAACAGACGAGGAGCUUGCUCCUCUGACGUUAGCGGCGGACGGGUGAGUAACACGUGGAUAACCUACCUAUAAGACUGGGAUAACUUCGGGAAACCGGAGCUAAUACCGGAUAAUAUAUUGAACCGCAUGGUUCAAUAGUGAAAGACGGUUUUGCUGUCACUUAUAGAUGGAUCCGCGCCGCAUUAGCUAGUUGGUAAGGUAACGGCUUACCAAGGCAACGAUGCGUAGCCGACCUGAGAGGGUGAUCGCCCACACUGGAACUGAGACACGGUCCAGACUCCUACGGGAGGCAGCAGUAGGGAAUCUUCCGCAAUGGGCGAAAGCCUGACGGAGCAACGCCGCGUGAGUGAUGAAGGUCUUCGGAUCGUAAAACCCUGUUAUUAGGGAAGAACAAAUGUGUAAGUAACUAUGCACGUCUUGACGGUACCUAAUCAGAAAGCCACGGCUAACUACGUG